rfam:Macleaya cordata isolate BLH2017 scaffold8269, whole genome shotgun sequence.
CCAAUGGAUUUAUUUAAAUCCACUACAUCAAAGAACCCUAAUAAAU